rnacentral:rRNA from 1 species
UACGUAGGGGGCAAGCGUUGUCCGGAUUUACUGGGCGUAAAGAGCGUGUAGGCGGCCAAACAGGUCCGUUGUGAAAACUGGAGGCUUAACCUCCAGACGUCGACGGAAACCGUGUGGCUAGAGUCCGGAAGAGGAGAGUGGAAUUCCUGGUGUAGCGGUGAAAUGCGCAGAUAUCAGGAAGAACACCAAUGACGAAGGCAGCUCUCUGGGACGGUACUGACGCUGAGACGCGAAAGCGUGGGGAGCGAACAGG